AGCCAAUUUAACUAAUGAACAGUAAAUACAAGGUGAGUAAGAAGCUGAAUGUAAGUAUAACAGGAAAUUAACUAAGCAGAUAAACAAAUGACUAUAAGUAACAAUCAAGGUAAAUGACGAUAGCAGUGUAAAGGAAUGUCAAGCAUAGUAGAAGGCUAACUGACCAUGAUCUGCAUAGGCAAAUGUAAAGUAACAGUAAGUGAAUAUCUGCAUGUAAUAUAAACAACUCUCUAUACCUGUCUCUUUACCUGUUGUAUUGUCAUCUUUACACAUGUAGAGAGCGGAAAAGAAAGCAAUUGCAUAAUGUAUGCAUCAAUGUAACUACUACGAAACAAGUGCUGCGAUAAUACCCAAUCUCAACGACCGACUCAUACGUCCGAUCAAGCCUGUGCCCGCCUAGGUCGGAAUCGCACUCCCGCAGGUGCACCGUCGACCCCUAGGCUCUACCCUCAUGGGUAAACAUAUCACAAACAUAACCAGCCAACAUCCGGAGCGGCACUCGAAGGGGAGCGACCCCUACCGAGUCACAUGUCACAUAGCACAAGUACUGUCAUCUCAAGGUGGCCUUGCAGGCUAUAGUCUAUGUCAUGGUCAACAAUAUCACAGUACCCAAUCCGAUGUCCUCAAUGUAAUCAUAGAGUGAACAGUAGGUCAAAUCUCAUGAUCACAUAAACAAAGACCAUCUCUAUGUCCAAAUCUCUGUACACUACUAUCACUCUAUCCACAGUCACUGACAAACAACAUAUGGCAUGCACGAUAUAAGUGACUAAUAAUGAUGCAUCAAGAUAACAUUUCUUAUCACAUACUAUAUACCAUGCACGAUACAAAUGAGUGUUAGAUGACUAAAUCAAGAUACAUGAAACGUUAAUUGGCUUCCCAUGACUGGAACUAAAAUAUCUAAUUAUUGCUAACAAUACUAUUUCAUGAGGAGGAAAGAAGUAUGACUUACAUCAGUUUUCAUCUGUGCAUAUGAGCUCAACUUCAUGCUAAUGGCAUCUCUUUCAACAACAAAAUCAAGAACGGAGGAUCACAAUUAGGGACAUAAGCUACGUCUAUUCAGCACAAUGCUCAUAUACAUAUGCACAUACAUAUCUCAGCGCAUAAUCAGAUAUCAAUACUAAGUUUCUAUCAUGCUUCAAUUUUCACGAACGGAGGAUCAACAGAAGGUAAAUUAUAUGCGCAAAUUCACAUAUUAUACAGCUUGUACCGAAAUAGGCAUAGGAGGAAAUUUGCCGUUUUCGGCAGCUCGGAACCCAC
rnacentral:lncRNA from 1 species